AUGCAAGUCGAGCGGGGGAAGGUAGCUUGCUACCGGACCUAGCGGCGGACGGGUGAGUAAUGCUUAGGAAUCUGCCUAUUAGUGGGGGACAACAUCUCGAAAGGGAUGCUAAUACCGCAUACGUCCUACGGGAGAAAGCAGGGGAUCUUCGGACCUUGCGCUAAUAGAUGAGCCUAAGUCGGAUUAGCUAGUUGGUGGGGUAAAGGCCUACCAAGGCGACGAUCUGUAGCGGGUCUGAGAGGAUGAUCCGCCACACUGGGACUGAGACACGGCCCAGACUCCUACGGGAGGCAGCAGUGGGGAAUAUUGGACAAUGGGGGGAACCCUGAUCCAGCCAUGCCGCGUGUGUGAAGAAGGCCUUAUGGUUGUAAAGCACUUUAAGCGAGGAGGAGGCUACUUUAGUUAAUACCUAGAGAUAGUGGACGUUACUCGCAGAAUAAGCACCGGCUAACUCUGUGCCAGCAGCCGCGGUAAUACAGAGGGUGCGAGCGUUAAUCGGAUUUACUGGGCGUAAAGCGUGCGUAGGCGGCUUAUUAAGUCGGAUGUGAAAUCCCCGAGCUUAACUUGGGAAUUGCAUUCGAUACUGGUGAGCUAGAGUAUGGGAGAGGAUGGUAGAAUUCCAGGUGUAGCGGUGAAAUGCGUAGAGAUC
rnacentral:rRNA from 1 species